UAGUUGCCUGUAUGUCACUGCCCAGAC
rnacentral:piRNA from 1 species